rnacentral:lncRNA from 1 species
ACAAAAGAAUAGAUACAACGGUGGUCUCUCUAUACAUAGGGACAUCACCCUCGGCCGUAGCCCGAGUAGCAAGGUGAUCGACUAGCACGCUCCUAGUAGUCCCUAGCUAGGCGCGACUCCCUUGCCACGAUCCCUAGCCUCUCCUGUAACAGGCUCUGUAAAAACACGUGAAAACUAUUAAAAUAGUUUCCAGUGGGUAAGCCGGCCAGCCCCUCGAGCGAAUUACACCACUAGGCUCAUGAUGUACUUAAUGAAAGCAAAGUAGUCAAUUGCGAUGAAUAUAUAAUUAUGCAGUCCUGCUAACAGUAAUAGCAAUGUAAAAUUAAUGAACUAUAACAACAUGUAAUUCUAGUCUCAAAGUAAUAAUUUAACUUGAUAUGGAGCAUGGCCACUACUAGACAUAAACAUGGCCUAAAUGUGUAAGUAAUUGUUCAUGUAUUGGUAACAUUUCAUACCUGUUCCAAUUUCCUUUAGCUUUCAUUCAUCAGGACCUACCCAAGGUAGUCCAGCUUGCGCCGUGCCUAAUGGUCCCGUGGUAGUAUAUACUCCCCACAGCAAUCCACUUCGGCACCCAAUCCCGCACGGGCGAACAACUGUCGCGUAGGCCAACUCCGGAGUGCCGGCUUGUAGGGAGCGACCCUCACAAGCGUGUGCGAAUGAGCACGAUGGCAAGCAAGCAUAUUUCACUGUCCACAUGUCUCAAAUAUCAUGUUUUCAUUUGCAAUGUUCUUACUCUCGAUCCUCCGAUCGGAAAUUCAAUACACAAAUAGUAACAAGAACUAGUAUCCACUAGAUUGUAAACAUGUCCGAGUAAUGCUAAAGCACAAGGCAUUAUAAUCUUUCCACUAUUAUGGCACUAUCAACAUGGUCAUAAGCAUGUCAUGGUUCUCUACUUUAGAGUCCAGAGAAUGUCAUUGUUCUCUAUUUUACCAUCGAUAAAGUCACGAGAAUAUCAUUGUUCUCUACUUUACAACAGCAUAAAUAUCAUAUCCAUUAUUUAUCUAAUUUAACUAAAGAUAAACAUAAAUAUAAGCAUAAGUACAAUUAUGCAUGAAUUCUCUCUACUUCAUAGAGGUUCUAUUAAAUGUUAAGGCAAGGAAGUUCCAACAACCAUAUUAUGCCAAUAUCGCACAAUUAUCUCAAAUUCCAUACAUAUAGAACAUAGGGGAGCUUCACUUGCUCUGGUUAGGUCAAACCCACCUAGUAUGAGGCUCCAACUAUCCACAAGAAGUCCCACAAACGGCUCAACGAAGCCCCAAUGCUGCUGAAAAAACAAAUGUCAAGAUCGGAGUAAAUCUACGGCCGAAAUGUCCGAUUUCGGCUCAAAUCACAUCUCGUAUCAAGUAGCAACAUAAAUCGCUGUUUUGGUUCACUUUAGUACCUUCAAUUAAGUCUCUAAAGGCUUCCCAAAGCCAACCAAGGAUGACCCAAAGGUCAGUCGAACUCCCGCUGCGAUCAACACCAAUACGACAUCAAAAUCAUCAUAUAAUAGCAAAUAUAGUCGGAAUCUUGCGAAUUCAGUUUUCUAACUGAAAUCCUUGCUUACCUCAGGUUAGAAUACCUUCCAAACCAACUUCUAAGAGUACAAGUUCAGCUCAACGAGGCUCGAAGACCUGCUGCGAAGAAAUAAUCCCGAAAUUGCAUCAAUUCGCGCAAAUAAGUGCAAUUAGUUCUAAUUUAGCUUCAUAAUUGGCUAAAUAUUCAAUUAAGCUUCAAAGUAGCUUAUCCCUGGUCUAAGAAGGUUAAUUCACAGCUAAUUAACUCAUUUAUAAUAGCUGAAUUCUCAGUUUAGCACAGCCAAGAGCAAAAAUCCGAAAUCGCUACUCAAAUCGACGAAUAGAACGUCGAUAACGACAAAAGUGAGUCGAUUACCUUCUUAAGCUUCCAACCAGUGACCUGCUGAUCUAGGGCUGCGAAAACCUGUCCAAAACACUCUCCCACGUGUCCGCGAAAGCUCUGCAACGCUCGCAAACAGCGAAGAACAAGCGCGGCGACGAAAACGGUGCAAAACGGCGACUUUUCUCUAGAGAGAGAAAAACCCUAGAGAGAGAGGAAGAGAAAAAUGGGAGAACCCUUCUCUGGACUCCAGACCCUUCCACAGUGCUCCUGGAGUCGUGCUGGGGGUUAUAGAUAGGGAUCAAAAUGUGAAAAGACCAAAAUAGCCUUGCUGCCACGAAUUGCCACUGUGUACCGGUACACCAUUGCGGCUGUACCGGUACAGCAAGCAGAAAAGGCUGAUUUUCGCCAGUUCAAUGCACUUUCUCACUUCUCGCAUUCCAAACAUCCUCUAACUUAUCCAAACACUUGUUCUAACCUUUUAGAACAUGUAAGAGUGAUCCACACACCAUUCCACACACUCGAACUCUGCAAUUUGCGAAAGUCCAGUGUAUUACAUUCACCCCUCCUAAAAAGAAGUUUCGUCCGCGAAACUUGUAAANAAGAGAACAAUAGUAUAAACCCAAAAUCUCAACCAUCAACGAAGUAUCACAACUAUAGUGACUGUCCAAAAGUACAUAUACAUCACGGGGUCAACAAAAGAAUAGAUACAACGGUGGUCUCUCUAUACAUAGGGACAUCACCCUCGGCCGUAGCCCGAGUAGCAAGGUGAUCGACUAGCACGCUCCUAGUAGUCCCUAGCUAGGCGCGACUCCCUUGCCACGAUCCCUAGCCUCUCCUGUAACAGGCUCUGUAAAAACAACCACCAAAAGGGCGUGAAAACUAUUAACAAUAGUUCCCAGUGGGUAAGCCGCCAGCCUCGGCGAAUUACACCACUAGGCUCAUGAUGUACUAAAUGA